rnacentral:piRNA from 1 species
CAAAACAGGUGACUUGAGUGUGGGAUGACCC